UACGAGAGGCCCAAACGUUAUUCGGAAUUACUGGGCUUAAAGAGUUCGUAGGCGGCAUUGCAAGUAGGGUGUGAAAGCCCUCGGCUCAACCGAGGAAUUGCGCUCUAAACUGCAGUGCUUGAGGAACCUAGAGGUGAGCAGAACAGAUGGUGGAGCGGUGAAAUGCGUUGAUAUCAUCAGGAACACCGGUGGCGAAAGCGGCUCACUGGGGCUUUUCUGACGCUGAGGGACGAAAGCUAGGGGAGCGAACGGG
rnacentral:rRNA from 1 species